AUCGCUUCUAAGCCUUUUGGCUUAGAUCCAGUGUUUAAAAAAAAAAAAAAAGGAAUCAUGGGAUGAAAAGGCCAGAAUUUUAAGAAGGUCUUCUAAACUUACCUUAGACUAAACUAUGAGUACUUCUUUCCUUUGGAUUUGCAA
rnacentral:sRNA from 1 species